ACUCAAAUGAAUUGACGGGGGCCCGCACAAGCGGUGGAGCAUGUGGUUUAAUUCGACGCAACGCGCAGAACCUUACCCAGACUUGACAUCUAUCAAACCCGGCCCAAAAGCUGGGGUGCCCGCAAGGGAAUGGUAAGACAGGUGCUGCAUGGCUGUCGUCAGCUCGUGUCGUGAGAUGUUGGGUUAAGUCCCGCAACGAGCGCAACCCUCGCCUUUAGUUGCUCCGCAAGGAGAUCUCUAGAGGGACCGCCAGUGAUAAGCUGGAGGAAGGUGGGGAUGACGUCAAGUCCUCAUGGCCUUUAUGUCUGGGGCUACACACGUGCUACAAUGGCGAGUACAAAGCGUUGCCAACCUGCGAAGGGGAGCUAAUCGCAUAAAACUCGUCUCAGUUCGGAUCGGAGUCUGCAACUCGGCUCCGUGAAGUCGGAAUCGCUAGUAAUCGCGGAUCAGCACGCCGCGGUGAAUACGUUCCCGGGCCUUGUACACACCGCCCGU
rnacentral:rRNA from 1 species